rnacentral:rRNA from 1 species
CGCGGCCUAUCAGCUUGUUGGUGGGGUGAUGGCCUACCAAGGCGUCGACGGGUAGCUGGUCUGAGAGGACGAUCAGCCACACUGGGACUGAGACACGGCCCAGACUCCUACGGGAGGCAGCAGUGGGGAAUCUUGCCCAAUGGGCGAAAGCCUGAGGCAGCAACGCCGCGUGGGGGAUGAAGGCUUUCGGGUUGUAAACCCCUUUCAGCAGGGACGAAGUUGACGGUACCUGCAGAAGAAGCCCCGGCCAACUACGUGCCAGCAGCCGCGGUAAUACGUAGGGGGCGAGCGUUGUCCGGAUUUAUUGGGCGUAAAGAGCUCGUAGGCGGCUCGGUAAGUCGGAUGUGAAAUCUCCAGGCUUAACCUGGAGAGGCCAUUCGAUACUGCUGUGGCUUGAGUCCGGUAGAGGAGCAUGGAAUUCCCGGUGUAGCGGUGAAAUGCGCAGAUAUCGGGAGGAACACCAGUAGCGAAGGCGGUGCUCUGGGCCGGUACUGACGCUGAGGAGCGAAAGCGUGGGGAGCGAACAGGAUUAGAUACCCUGGUAGUCCACGCUGUAAACGUUGGGCACUAGGUGUGGGGUCCUAUCGACGGGUUCCGUGCCGUAGCUAACGCAUUAAGUGCCCCGCCUGGGGAGUACGG